rnacentral:lncRNA from 1 species
UCAGGAGGAUUUAGAGAAAACAGCCUGCCCAGUGCUUUUGCUUGACUAGCAGAGACAGCUGGAUAAAGGUUUUAUGGGAGGCGAUGUCGGCAUUCGUAGGGCCUGUGCCUUUUCUGUGACUCAGUGAUGGGCCAGUGGAAACGGCCGUUUCCACAGUUGGACAGAACGAGGUUUGUGUCCUGGUGUUGCUCACAGACGUCUCAACCAGACGGAGUCC